rnacentral:rRNA from 1 species
CCUACGGGAGGCAGCAGUGGGGAAUAUUGGGCAAUGGGCGCAAGCCUGACCCAGCAACGCCGCGUGAAGGAAGAAGGCUUUCGGGUUGUAAACUUCUUUUAAGAGGGAAGAGCAGAAGACGGUACCUCUUGAAUCAGCCACGGCUAACUACGUGCCAGCAGCCGCGGUAAUACGUAGGUGGCAAGCGUUGUCCGGAUUUACUGGGGGUAAAGGGCGUGCAGCCGGGAAGACAAGUCAGAUUUGAAAUCCCGCGGCUCAACCGCGGAACUGCAUUUGAAACGGUUUUUCUUGAGUACCGGAGAGGUCAUCGGAAUUCCUGGUGUAGCGGUGAAAUGCGGAGAUAUAAGGAAGAACACCAGCGGCGAAGGCGGAUGACUGGACGGCAACUGACGGUGAGGCGCGAAAGCGUGGGGAGCAAACAGGAUUAGAUACCCUUGUAGUC